AAAUUUUUAUAAAUUAUACCUGCUCCAUGAAUCAUUAUAUUUAAUUUAAAUAUUUAUUUAUACUAUUUAAAUAGCCGCAAUUUAGUGCUAAGGUAGCAUAAUCAUUUGUUUUUUAAUUAAAAACUAGAAUGAAAGGUUAAACAUUUAAAUUUCUUUUUUUUAUUAAAAUCAUUUAAUUUAUAUUAAAUAUAAAAAUAUAUUUAUACUAAAAAAAGACGAUAAGACCCUAUUAAACUUAACUUAUGUUUAACUGGGGCAGUUUUUUAAAUAAAAUUUUAUUAAUAUUAUAUUUAUAAAAAUCUAAUUUAAUUAAAAUAAACAAGUUACUAUAGGGAUAACAGCGUUAUAUUUUUUACGAGUUCAUAUUUAAAAAAUAGAUUGCGACCUCGAUGUUGAAUUAUAUAUUCUUUAUAUUGCAUCAAAUAUAAAAGUAGGUCUGUUCGACCUUUAAAAUAUUACAUGAUCUGAGUUCAAACCG
rnacentral:rRNA from 1 species